rnacentral:rRNA from 1 species
AUUUCCCUACGGGAGGCAGCAGUGGGGAAUAUUGCGCAAUGGGCGAAAGCCUGACGCAGCGACGCCGCGUGAGGGAUGAAGGUCUUCGGAUCGUAAACCUCUGUCAGCAGGGAAGAACGGUCACUGUGCUAAUCAGCAGUGAAUUGACGGUACCUGCAAAGGAAGCACCGGCUAACUCCGUGCCAGCAGCCGCGGUAAUACAUAGGGGGCAAGCGUUAUCCGGAAUUAUUGGGUGUAAAGGGUGCGUAGACGGAAGACCAAGUUGGUUGUGAAAUCCCUCGGCUCAACUGAGGAACUGCAACCAA